rnacentral:lncRNA from 1 species
GCAAGCUAAAAGAACUCCGACCCAGGGUCUUCCCCUUUUCUCUUAAAAAGAUUUAAGAAACCGGAAACUCGCCCCACAAAUCUUAAGGCAUGAGCUCUAGGAAAAGUCAGCGCUCACGAGCAAAGACCGCUCCUACUCACCUUAGAUUCGGGGGACGGAUUCGGACUUCUAAAAACUACUAAGGGAAAAAGGAAAAGGACUUAGGCUCGGGGUCUCUGGCUAUCGCAAGUAGCUUACCCGACCUCGCGCUGCCGAGGUCGGAUCGGCAUGAGGAAAAAAGAAAACAGGACAUUUAAGAAAAAAGCUUAAAAAGAGCAAUUACACAAAUAUCUACAUUCAACAUUAACAUUGUAUAAUACAAGGCCUACUGGCCUCAACACCCACAAAAAGAAAAAAGAAAACUAAGAACCCUACUGCCCUGUCUGCCCAGGUCCUUGAGCCCCGAGGGGAGGAAGCUCCACCUCAUCAUCGAAGAAGGCGGCCAAGCCGUCUCCAGGGACAGUCGCGGCGUUCUCAAACCUCUGCACCUCCUCCUGGGCCUCAGUCUCGUCAUCCGAGAGAACGUAGCCCUCACAGACUGCCGGCAAGUCAAUGCCGGCAUAGUGAGAGCUCACCACCACCAGGGCUUUCUUCACCCCGGUGUGGAGCGCCUCCCUCAUCCUCUCCUCGGCC